GACAGCCCGGGCCUCAGCUGGCCCCGUGUUCAAGGGCGUCUGUAAGCAGUUCUCACGCUCACAGGGCCAUGGCUUCAUCACCCCCGAGAACGGGUCCGAGGACAUCUUCGUACAUGUGUCUGACAUCGAGGGGGAGUACGUGCCAGUGGAGGGCGACGAGGUGACCUACAAGAUGUGCCCUAUCCCUCCCAAGAACCAGAAGUUCCAGGCCGUGGAGGUGGUGCUCACUCAGCUGGCCCCCCACACUCCCCACGAGACGUGGUCUGGCCAGGUCGUGGGCUCCUAGGCUGAGUGGUUCACAGGCCAGCUGGCCGGGGGUUGGGGAGCCACACAGGGUGAACGGGCAGCAGCCGGCUCCAUGCCCCACUGCCCUGGCUGAUGAGUCCUUCGGUGGCCUCAGUGUGCACGUCUGUCUGUCCGUCUGUGCUUGUGGCUAUGAGCGUGUGCCUCCACCCACCCCACGACCCGUGACUACUGUGCAAGCUGGCCAGGAGGUAGGUGGAGGGCAAGGCCACCAGACCUGGCUUCGCGCUGUCCACUGCCUCUCUCCUCCCCUCCCUGCCGCAGACACGCAGGACCCGCUCGCCCUCCUGCUUACCCGUCCCCACGGUGACUGAGCUGCGAGAGCCUGCGCUGGGCUCACUCCCUGGCCUCCGCCCCUGAGCUGUCCCGUGUCAGUCCCUGGCCCGGAGCCAGGCUCUCUGUGCUACUUACAUCUCCCUCCCUUGGCUGAGGUCCCCCGCCACAGCCUGGACCCUUCCCUCAGAAGCCUGGCCGAUGGGUGCUUUUGGGGAGCCUCUCAGCCUCUGGCAGGGGAGGAGGACUGACACGGAGGCACACAGGCCUCUCACUGCCGAGGCCAGCCUUCCUUCCUGCUCUGCUCUCUCAGUGCCAUGGAGAGGCAGGAAGAGGGGCCUGAGGGCGGAAGGGGUUUGGGGCUCCCAUUUCGCCGGCCAGUCCCUCCUCCUCAGCCUGGCAGUGGCGCUGGGCUCCUUCCCCUGGGCUGUACUGAGCCGAGCCCAGGGGUUUGCAGAGGGUGGGGGUCCAUCUCUCCAGCUUGGCUGCAGACCUCCUUUACCCUGACUCACAAGCCCCACUGAUGCUCUGGGCCAUGCCCGGCUGACGGCUGCUGUGGAUGCCGCGAGGGACGGACACACGUCCGGGGCACCCACGAGGAGGGCCCCCAGCCUGGGAGACUGGCCCUGCGGCCUCCACGUCAAACUCUCUUCCCAAAGCCCUAACAGACCAGUGGCCGAGGUGUGGCUCUUAUUGCAUCCAUCCCUGAAGAUGUGUGGCUGUUGCUGUCACCUGGAGUCCUUUUGGGGCCAAGAUGUGUGUGCACCCGGGGUCGUGGCCAUUCACUCCCAGGCAGGGGUGAGGGUGGCCUGGCCCAGGAGGCCAGGAAGGAGGGCCCUGUCUGCCUCCACCUCUGGGUGCACCCCCUGCCUACCACCCUCCCUUCUAGAGAGCACAUCGCCUGACCGGGGAGAAGUGGGGCCGUGGUUCGAGGGAGGGCUGGCCAGGGGUGGGACCCUUAUGAGACUCAGUCUGUGAGUAAAACUGGGGGCUCAAAUGCCCAGGAUGAGGGGAUCAGUGACUGUCUAGGAGGAUCCCUUGCCUUGUAGGUGCCCCAAGACCGCAGGGUAGAAAUCAGCCGGGAUGCCUGCAUCCCACCCCCGGCCCCAGGGCCCACCACAUAAAAUCUGGGAGCCCAGAGCUGCUGAGGUGUGGUCAGCUCCCCUAAAAUGGGCACGGCCCAGCCUGUCCCAUGAGGAAUAAAGGCCCCUGGCCCCCUUGAGAGAGGGCUUGUUGGUGAGGGCUGACUCCUGGGGGCCCCCAAGGCUCCCCUCCUGUGGGGAGGCCACCUUUUAAGGCACCACUAGCAGUCAGGAUAUGGUGGCAUCAGCCCUGGGGCCUCCUGGGUGGCAGGGGGGCAGCAGCUCUCCUCCCCACUCACAGGCCCUGCAGUGCUCAUUUGGAAUUCCUCCCAAGACCCCUGGCCACCCAGACCCCCCAUUCUUCCUAACACUGGCAAUAAACCCUCAACUGUG
rnacentral:lncRNA from 1 species